rnacentral:rRNA from 1 species
AGCGGUAACAGAGAUAGCUUGCUAUCUGCUGACGAGCGGCGGACGGGUGAGUAAUGCUUGGGAAUAUGCCUUUUGGUGGGGGACAACAGUUGGAAACGACUGCUAAUACCGCAUAACGUCUACGGACCAAAGUGGGGGACCUUCGGGCCUCACGCCAAGAGAUUAGCCCAAGUGGGAUUAGCUAGUUGGUAAGGUAAUGGCUUACCAAGGCAACGAUCCCUAGCUGGUUUGAGAGGAUGAUCAGCCACACUGGAACUGAGACACGGUCCAGACUCCUACGGGAGGCAGCAGUGGGGAAUAUUGCACAAUGGGCGCAAGCCUGAUGCAGCCAUGCCGCGUGUGUGAAGAAGGCCUUCGGGUUGUAAAGCACUUUCAGUCAGGAGGAAAGGUUAGUAGUUAAUAGCUACUAGCUGUGACGUUACUGACAGAAGAAGCACCGGCUAACUCCGUGCCAGCAGCCGCGGUAAUACGGAGGGUGCGAGCGUUAAUCGGAAUUACUGGGCGUAAAGCGUACGCAGGCGGUUUGUUAAGCGAGAUGUGAAAGCCCCGGGCUCAACCUGGGAACUGCAUUUCGAACUGGCAGACUAGAGUGUGAUAGAGGGUGGUAGAAUUUCAGGUGUAGCGGUGAAAUGCGUAGAGAUCUGAAGGAAUACCGAUGGCGAAGGCAGCCACCUGGGUCAACACUGACGCUCAUGUACGAAGCGUG